rnacentral:lncRNA from 1 species
UUUUUUUUUGACUGUUUUGGAAAUGCAUAAAAUGAAGUGUUUUUUUUUUGAGUGAGAGCAUGAAUGAAUUCUGGUUUGAUGGAUGCACUAGUAGUUUCCAAUGACAGAAAAUGAUCUCCAAAUUCUGUUGGAUAGUACAAGGCAUGGUAUGGAAGUAUGGAGUGGAAAUGUCCUUUUGUUCCAAAAUUUAAGCAAGUUGGCAUGGCCUCUUGUUUUGGCUGGUUUUUUUGGCUGCAAAAUCUAUUCAUAAUGACAGAGAAUGGCCUCUAAAUUUUCUGUUUUGAUGAGUACAAGGCAUGGCUAAAG